UACGGGAGGCAGCAGUGGGGAAUAUUGCACAAUGGGCGCAAGCCUGAUGCAGCAACGCCGUGUGAGUGAAGAAGGUUUUCGGAUCGUAAAACUCUGUCCUAAGGGAAGUAAACAAAUGACGGUACCUUAGGAGGAAGCCCCGGCUAACUACGUGCCAGCAGCCGCGGUAAUACGUAGGGGGCAAGCGUUAUCCGGAAUCACUGGGCGUAAAGGGUGCGUAGGCGGCUUAGCAAGCCAGGGGUGAAAGGCAUUGGCUCAACCAAUGUAAGCCUUUGGAACUGUUAAGCUUGAGUGCAGGAGAGGUAAGUGGAAUUCCUAGUGUAGAGGUGAAAUUCGUAGAUAUUAGGAGGAACACCAGUGGCGAAGGCGACUUACUGGACUGUAACUGACGCUGAUGCACGAAAGCGUGGGUAGCGAACAGGAUUAGAUACCCUGGUAG
rnacentral:rRNA from 1 species